AUGGCGAUGGCUUUGCCGGAGUGGAUCAGGGAGGGGGAGGAGUCGGAGUGGGAGGAGGUAGAAUGCACGGCGUGGAGGGCGUCCGGGUGCGGGGACGGCGACGGCGACGCGGCGGCGGAGGCGCUGGCGAGGGGGCUGACGCUGCUGGUGCGCCUCGCCGACCCUCCGGCCGUCUCCGCCCUGGCCAUCCGGCCGGCCGACGGCGUCUUCCUCAACGCCGCCUCCGUCGACGUCGCCGACGGCAACCUGGUCAUCCUCAGCGCCGCCUUCUACGGCUUCCCCCGGAGAUACUAUCUCAUCUACGAUGUCGCCGAGGCGUCUGUCGCCAUCACCCCGCAUCUGCCCAGGUUCUGCAAGCCGUCCUUCACGUUGAAACCUCUCCCCGUGCGUCGUCGUCGUCGUCCUAGGGUUGGAGAGGCCGUCGUCGUCGACGAUGGCGACGAUCAUCGCAACUACGUGCUAGUACUCAUGGCAAUCAACUUCAACAAGGAUGAUAUUAUCUGCCUUUGGCCUCCUGAUCCGUCGUGGUCUUCGUCGUCGUCGCUGCCAUGGCAGAGGAAGGAGACACGAUUCCCCGUCGAGAUGAAUCGGCCCUGGGAACAGUAUGGGUUCAGUGCCGAUUCCGUUUUCACCUUGAAUGGAAUAGCUUAUUGGGUAGAUCUAGCACUGGGGGUACUGUACUGCAAGACCAGUGACCUACUACUAUCCGAUCGUGAUGUCGUCGUUGAGUUCAGCUUCAUCGAUCUGCCUCCUGGUUAUCGUGCUGACCGUAACCUCUUCCGCCCGAAGAUGUUUCGGACACUUGGCUGCGUUGGUGGCUCCAUCAAGUUCGUCUCCGUUGAUGGAUACCACAAGAGGGAGGAGACCUACUUCAACACAGAGGAUGAGGAGGAAGAGGAGGACGGCGACGACUGCAUCAUCGAACCGGUUGCAGCUGCAGAACGCAAGAUAACAAUGUGGAGUCUGAUACCUGGUGGCAACCUUGGAUGGAAAAAAGAUGCAGAAUUCAGCGUAGGUGAUCUGUGGAUGUGGGAGGAGUUUCAGAGUAUAGGAUUGCCGCGGCAGCAGCCUAUCAAUCCUAUACUGGAUCCUCAAGAAGAUGGUAUGCUCCUAUUACUGAUCGGUGACUACUACAACGACGAAAAUGAUGUCCUAAGAUGCAGGGACCAGCAUAUGAUCACGGUUGACAUGAAAAACCAAUCGAUCGUGUGCUCCACCCUCCUGCCGUGUUGGCUACAUUUAAUGGUUCCUGACCUUGUAUCGUCAGAUCUUCCGCAGUAUCUCAAGAGUUUGAGAUAGGUACGAUAUC
rnacentral:lncRNA from 1 species